rnacentral:rRNA from 1 species
AUUGAACGCUGGCGGCAUGCUUUACACAUGCAAGUCGAACGGUAACAGGCCGCAAGGUGCUGACGAGUGGCGCACGGGUGAGUAAUGCAUCGGAACGUGCCCAGUCGUGGGGGAUAACUACUCGAAAGAGUAGCUAAUACCGCAUACGAUCUAUGGAUGAAAGCGGGGGACCGUAAGGCCCCGCGCGAUUGGAGCGGCCGAUGUCAGAUUAGGUAGUUGGUGGGGUAAAGGCUCACCAAGCCAACGAUCUGUAGCUGGUCUGAGAGGACGACCAGCCACACUGGAACUGAGACACGGCCCAGACUCCUACGGGAGGCAGCAGUGGGGAAUUUUGGACAAUGGGCGCAAGCCUGAUCCAGCAAUGCCGCGUGCAGGAAGAAGGCCUUCGGGUUGUAAACUGCUUUUGUACGGAACGAAACGGCUCUGGUUAAUACCCGGGGCUAAUGACGGUACCGUAAGAAUAAGCACCGGCUAACUACGUG